UACAGAGGUCUCAAGCGUUGUUCGGAUUCAUUGGGCGUAAAGGGUGCGUAGGCGGCGUGGUAAGUCGGGUGUGAAAUCUCGGAGCUUAACUCCGAAACUGCAUUCGAUACUGCCGUGCUUGAGGACUGGAGAGGAGACUGGAAUUUACGGUGUAGCGGUGAAAUGCGUAGAUAUCGUAAGGAAGACCAGUGGCGAAGGCGGGUCUCUGGACAGUUCCUGACGCUGAGGCACGAAGGUCAGGGAGCAAACGGG
rnacentral:rRNA from 1 species